AAGGGCUGCAAUACAAUGUUUGAAGAGGAAAAGGCUUUAUGAGCAGCAAGUCGAGCAGCUUGGGAAUUUCCAACUACGAAUUCACGAUCAGAUGAUCAUGCUUGAAGGCGCCAAAGCUACAACCGAAACAGUCGAUGCAUUGAGGACUGGAGCAUCAGCAAUGAAGGCAAUGCAGAAAGCAACUAACAUUGAUGAUGUUGACAAGACAAUGGAUGAGAUAAAUGAGCAGACGGAGAAUAUGAAGCAAAUUCAAGAAGCUCUUUCUGCUCCUAUUGGAGCAGCUGCUGAUUUUGAUGAAGAUGAAUUGGAAGCUGAACUUGAGGAGUUGGAGGGAGCAGAACUGGAG
rnacentral:misc_RNA from 1 species